UGGGACUACAGAUCAGUUACAUUACAUAAGCCAGUCACAGAAAGACAAAUACUGUAUGGUCUCACUUACAUGGGAUAUCUAAAAACGUUGAUCUUGUAGAAACAGAGUAGAAAGGUGAUAACCAGUGUCUGCUGGGGUGGGGAGAUGGUGUGGGAGGGGAUGGGGAAAAGGGAGAUGUUGACGAAAGGUACAAAGUUUCCAUUAAACUGUAGAAAUAAGUUUUAGUGGUCUGUGGUACUGCAUGGUGACCACAGUUAAUAAUAAUAUAUAUUUCAAUAUUGCUAAAAUAAUUGAUUUUUAAUGUUCUGAAUACAAAAGAAGGAUAAAUUGGUGAGGUAAUGGAUAUGUUAAUUAGCUUGAUGUAAUCUUUCUGCAAUGUAUACAGAUAUAAAAACACCACAUGGAGCCCCAUGUUUGUGUAAAGAUACAUACACAAUUACUAAUUUUCAAUUAAAACAAAACAAACAUGUAGGUUUCAUAAAGUAGGAUGUCAUAUAAGUAAUGAGUAAACACUAGGAUCUGAUCUUGGCCAUUUUAUUAACAGUAUUACCUAUGAGAAUUUCUUUUAAUCUCUUUUAGUCUAUUUCCUCUGUAAAAUGAAAGUUUGAGUAUUUUCCAAACUCUGAAAGAUUACUAGAGAUGAUUUUAGGUGGUAUAUGAGAUUACUUUAGGCAGUGCCUUGAUAAAACAUUAAAAUAAACAUUGAAUCACAUAGUGAGAAAUUACUCCUUUUUCAUCUUUCUGAUUACAUCAAAAAGAAAGUCUCAGUUUGGUAUCAAGAGAUCUUUAAUAAUUCUCGAACACUGGAUAAUUGGUUGUGGGGGAAGAUGAGGGUGAGAGUGAACAGAUACUAUGAAUUUUAUACCACUCAGGAGUUUCCACAUAAGAGUUACACAGACCAAUGAAAGUAAGAAGAAAACAAGGUCUCUAUAGAAGCGAAAUUAAUUCCAUGCCUUAGAAGGAGAAAGUACAGAAGUGCUUUUUUGCUCUUUCUGUUGACCUCAUUUCCCUUGCAGUUGGAACAAAAUCAACGUGUUACCCAAAUGGCAAGUUGGAGAGGAGGAAUCAAACAUGAGGCACAGCCCUUUCCGACUUCUCUCAUGGUGUGGCCCGUACUCAUAAAGUACUUCUCUUCUGCUAUGUAGUACGCUUUGGUUGACAAACUGCUUAGGACAGGCUUAGAAAGUCCAUGAAGCCAUAAAUCCAAAGCACAAAAUCACAUUUGCAAUUCAUCGUUAUUAUCAAGCCGAUAUUUUGAUUGCCAUUUUAUUCCUCUGUUUUUCAGUUGGUUUCAAAUUCUUAGGAAAUGUAAGAGGAAAAGCAAUUAUUACUCUUUAAAACCUCAGUAAUAAUCUACCUUUUUAACAGAAAUCCAGUUUGGGCUUAGAGCUUUCCAUAAGCAAUAUUAUUCAUACAGAAUUUAAUAACAUGGUUUUGUUUUCAGUGGAUUUAUAUUUAUGGUUAACAUCUAUAAAAGAAAUUCAUUUAAGUUUUAAAAAAUGAAUUGGCUUUUAAAAUAUUAAAUAAUACAUAUAUUACAUGUAUAUGAUAAAAAUCAUAAGGUAAUACACAAUUGGCUAAAAUUCAGAAAAUACUGAAUGAGAUUAUUUGAGGUUUUUUAGAUUAAAAUUUUUUUGCAUGUAUAUUGAAUAGAAUAUAAAAAGUUGUAUGGUAAACCAGUGGGGGAAAAAAAGGGCUUUCUAACAUAGCAUGUACUGUAUUAUUUUCUUAUAUUUUGAAAUAUCUUGUUAAUGAGGAAGUUAAGCUUUUAUUCGAUGCCAGUUUUCUUAUUUAUAAGUGUAAAUAUCUUUUUCUUAAUAGCUUACUAGACAGAAUAUAUCUUUUUGGUAGGAUAUUUGUUGGUGAUGAUGACUUUUUUAUUCAUAUAUUUUUCUGCUGUAUACCCUUUCUAGCACAGUGUUCAGUACAUGGUAUUUGUUUCAGCUCGUUUUGCAUUGCUAUAAAGUAAUACUCAAGGCUGAGUAAUUUAUAAAGAAAAGAGAUUUAUUUGGCAUAUGGCUCUGCAGGUUGUAUAAGAAGCAUGGUGCCAGCAUCUGCCUCUGGUGAGGGCUUCAGAAAGCUUCCACUCAUGGCAGAUGGUGAAGGGAGUGGGGACAGACAUCACAUGGCAAGAGAGGAAGGAAGAGAGAGGGGUGAGGAAGUUGCUGGGCUCUUUUUAACAAUUAGUUCUGCUGAGAACUCACUUGUUACCACUAGAAGAGCACCGAGUUUUACAUAUCAGAGGGAGAGAAUAUUAAUUAGAGGUUAUUAACCAAACUGACUUUCUAAUAACCAUGUAGUUGGCUUGAUUGACUAUAUUCCCAGAUCAUUUAAUUUAUUUUGAAACAUUUUGCAUAUAUACAGGAGAACAGAAUUUGAAGACUAUGUUUCAUUCUGGUGAAUAUAUUUUAAACAUAGCCUAGGUUUAUU